UACGGAGGGUGUAAGUGUUAAUCGGAAUUACUGGGCGUAAAGAGUGCGUAGGUGGUUAAUUAAGUUAUCUGUGAAAUCCCCGGGCUCAACCUGGGCAGGUCAGAUAAUACUGGUUAACUCGAGUAUGGGAGAGGGUAGUGGAAUUUCCGGUGUAGCGGUGAAAUGCGUAGAGAUUGGAAGGAACACCAGUGGCGAAGGCGGCUACCUGGCCUAAUACUGACACUGAGGCACGAAAGCGUGGGGAGCAAACAGG
rnacentral:rRNA from 1 species